UCCAUUCUUUUGCUAUAUAUUUCUAUAUUUUUUACACUUUUUUAUAAAUGUUUAGACUAAGCUAUUUUAUUGUGUUCUGUGCAACUAGUCCAACUUCAAACCCCACUUCUUUUUUUCUGUUUUUUUUUUUAAAUUAUUAAUAAAUUUUAGAAUAAUUACUCUAUACCAUUUACGGUUUUUAAAGUUCAACUAUUGGAAGGCGGGGAUCAAAUUAAUUGUUGAUUUGUGAUUUGAUUGUAAGCCUCUAACACUUAAACCAGCCUUAUCCAUUCCAAACAUUCUACUUAUUUUAUGUUGAAAUUGGCCAGAUCUGGCGUCUUGCAGAUCUGACCCAACAAUGUCAUUCCAAAAUAAUCACGGCAUCAAAAUCUCAAAGCCAUGAGAUAAUCCCAUGAUUAAUUCAAAACAAUGUGAAUAAAUAAGCAUUACAUUCGACAGAGUGAUCUGAAUGCUGAAGGGGUAAAUGCAAUGUGGUGGUGGUGGUGGGGGGGAGGGUCAGUUGAUAACUUGGUCAUAUAGGGAGCAUUAAGUUCUAAUAUAUAAACUUUAAAAGAAUUUAGGUCCCCAAGUGGGCCUUAUAUUAUUGAGGAGUUUGUAGUUGUGUGGCAAUUUUCAAUUUCACUAAUACAGGAGGCUGAAAAGAUUGGCCGUAAAUGGGCUUUACUCUUCUAAGUGCGAGAGUACAGUAUCGGUCAGUAAUAGCUUUAGCCAUGAACCUGGCUGGUCAGCAGACAACCAUGUUUGAAUAUCAUUUCUAAGCCUUGUUUCCAACUGGCUGUAGUAAUAUUAACAGUAGUAAAUAUAACCUGUAUAGUUAUAGUAAUAAUAUUAGUACUUGUUACCUUUGCUGAAGAAUCUGAGCACUACCAGGUGAAUUCAUAAAGUUCUUCACCACCAAAAUAUAACCUGGGGCAUUACAAUAUUCUGGAUAAUUUACGUCUUUUGACUUUGCAAAUUGUAUUGAUGUAGAAUGCUGUUGACCAGCCUCUCAGUUUCUCAGGUUUUAUGAGAGUAAAUGGCUUUUGAUUGCUCAGGAUUAUCAAGCUUUGAGCUGUUAGCUUCUUCUUCUUCUUCUGGAUUGAUAUUACUGGUUCUGGUUUCAACUCCUGGUGUUUCUGCUUCAAGAUCAUUCACAGGUUCCUGGCUGCAUGAUGAGAUAUCAAACCCAGUCGGUCUAUCAGAAAAUUGAGUGAAACUGAACAGCCUCGCAUGAGGCAUGGUGUUAGGGGCUGUACCAAGGAAGGAGCGAAUCGGGUGCAGAGCAUCAAGGAAUACGUGCUUUUAGUGACUUGCACUCAAUUCCUUGGACUUCGGUGCCAAAGUAAUGGUUUUCCUUUAGGUUGAGUUGAGCCUUUCAACAUGACCAUUCCCUGCUGGAUUGUAUGCGGUCGUCCAGCUGGUUGCUAUGCCUUUAUCAUGGAGGAAUUAUCUCAGUUCAGCUUACAUGAAGGCAGCACCACAAUUAGAAUGAAUGAAAGAAGGGAGUCCAAAAUCGAAAAUAGUUGGCGGAGAUAACAAAUGACAAUAGCAGCUGAUAUAUCUGAACAUGCAAACGCAAACAGAAAGCAAGAAAUUUUUUCAAUAAUUGUGAGUAGAUUUGUUGUGAUUAGUGGAUGGGAGUGGAUCCCUUGAAGUCUACAUUUAAUCUCUCAAACAGCUGAGUUGCCAUCACAAGUUUGGCUGUUGUUGGCACAGAAAAUCUAGGCUUCAGUUCAGUGCAUGCAGGACAUUGAAAUGUUAUAGAUUUUAGAUCAGGAGUGGAAAAUGGUUGAUUCUUUGACCACAUGAAAUGGAGCGAUCACAUCAUGCCUGGAUGGCACAAGGAAACGUGGAGCUGUGUAAGGUCCACAGGGGUAGAAGAUGCAGCCUUGUUCUCCUUACCCAGCCAAUAAAUGACAUCAUAUUUGAAACAAUACAGCUCAAUCCUCCAACAACAAAGACAAAGUCAAGAACGGCAAGGUCUUCUGAUGAAAGUCAGGGACUGAAGAUGAGCUCCAAUCAGGUAGGGUUUCCAUUUAUGAAGCGCUGCUUCAAUGAUGGCAUAAGCUUCCUUCUCAACUGAGGACUGGUUCUGUUCACUGCAAGUAAGUGUUCUAGAGAAAAAGGCUACAGGUCUUCCAUUCUGGUUCAAGGCUGCAGCAAUAACAAUAUCAGAAGCAUCUGUUUCCACAAUCAAAGGUAUUUGGUGGUUGACAGUGACCAAAGUAGCGCCUUCAAUCUCUGACUUGAAGUUUUGGAAUGACUGUUCAACAACAUCAAGGUGUGGGGAAAAUCUUUUUAUGUGUCAAGGGUGCGAUUUCCUCAGAGAUCCAGUGAGAAUAAUAAGCAAAUUUCUAUGUUUCUUUCUUGUGCUUUGGCAUCUUGAGAUGGGAGCUUGCAUAAGCAGUGGAAUCAUUCUGGAUCAGGUCUGAUUACCCCUUUGGACACUUUGUAACCCAGGAGCAUGAUAGUCCUGGCAGCAACGACUGUUUUCUUAUCAUUGAAGAUUCGUACAGCCUGUUGGAAUCUUUCACAAUUCUCAUCAUGUUUUCUUCUGUUGCGCCUGCGUAUUGUGACACUGUCAACGUAGGUUAAGGUAUCCUCUAGUUUUGUUUGCUUGAUAAGAUUAUCAAUGAUAUGUUGAAAAGAAGCUAUACUAUUUGUGACUCCAAACAAUAUACAAUGGAAUUGAUACAGAUUCCCACAUACUUCGAAUCCUGUAAAUUUUUUCUCCUCUUUGCAUAUAGAGAUCUGACGAUAAGCAUUCUUAAGAUUGAAAGGGUGAAUAUUUUGUAGCGAGAUAUUUUCUCAGCCAGUUCAUUGAUGCAUGGUGCAGGGUAGGCAUCGAGUUGUGCAUAUUGAUUGAUUGUCUGGUUAUAAUCAAUUACCAUUCAUCUUUUGUGAGAUUCAUCACUGGCAACUAAAACUUGCACCCUCCCUGGAGAAUGGGAUGGUUCAACGAAUUGUUCUGACAAAAGACAGCUGACUUCACUUUUGACAAAUUUCUGAUCCGGCAAUGACAGGUGCCUGGACUUAGUAGCAAUAGGUUUGCAAUGUGGUGAAAGCGACCUGAAUUGUGUAGGAGUGUCAACAUGUCACAAAGUGAAAAUGGAGGUCUGAGACCUCCAAAGGCUGUGUUUACUUGUUCAUACUGUUUCAAAACAUCAUGCCCAAUUAAGACAUGUGAGCAAAGCCCAGGUAAAAAUGAAAGCUUCACACCGAGGUAAUCAUUGUCAUGAAAGACCAAUUUAGCAAAACAGUGACCUUAUGUAACGCUUGACCAGGUAGUAGAGGCCAUUGAAAUCAGUGUUUGAUGGAUACACCAACCAUGUGAGUGUACCUUAUGAGAUCAUACAUAACUAUCAGAGCUUCCAGUAUCAACCAGAGGGUUGAGUUUCACACCAUUUAUGUACACUUUAAAAACAGCAGAAGAUAAUGUUGCAGGAAAAGCUGCAGAGAAUAUGGCAAACAAUGUGGGAUUUGAGUAUGUAACAAAGUAUUUGGUCCUGCAUACCCUCUGGAAGUGACCGACUUUGUUGCAGGCUUUACAUGUCGCUUCCCAGGCUGGGCUCUUGGAAUGUGGGUGUUUGUUGUAACAACAGGAAAAAACAUUUAGGUAUCAUGUUUUGGGCUGAGAGGACAUGCAGUAUAGGAUUCAUUGGGGGACUGACUGACCUUAGGUAACUUGAAGAUUGAACCUCUACCAUCUCCUGCAUCGAUACUUGGAUAAAGGCCCAAUCAAGAUGUAGGUUGUCCUGCUCCAACAACCGUUGGCGUAUGCUACUAGAAUGCAUGCCACUUAUGAAGGCAUCUCUUACAGCUUCGUUGAGAUGUUCAGUAGCCAAAACAGCUUUGUAUCCAGUCUUUUGCCAAAAGUUUGUGCUUCUGGAGGUAUUGAUCUAAACUUUGUCCAUACUCCUGCUGGCAAGUCUAUAACAGGUGAUAUGCAUACACUACAUCAGUGGUUCGCGACCUGUAGUCUGUUGACCCCUAGUGGUUCACAAAAGUAGUACUGGGGGUCUGUGAACUAAAUUCAAAAUUUCAUAUCUAUAUAAACAUAAGGAUAACAAUAUCCUGGGGUCCGUGGGAAAACUCAUUUAAAUAAAAGGAGUCCUUGCUAAUGAAAAUUGGGAACCACUGCGCUACAUUCUUUGGUUUCACGUAUAGUGAAGUAAGACUGUCAACCGCUCUGGUGUCCAUGAUGCAGUCCGUGAUAUAUUCGAACACAUUGGCCGUAAAUAGGCUUUACUCUUCUAAGAGCAAGAGUACAGUAUCGGUCAGUAAUAGCUUUAGCCAUGAACCUGGCUGGUCAGCUGACAACCAUUUUUGAAUAUCAUUUCUAAGCCUUAUUUUCACUCCAAAGCCUCGUUUCCAACUGGCUGUAGUAAUAUUAACAGUAGUAAAUAUAACCUGUAUAGUUAUAGUAAUAAUAUUAGUACUUGUUACCACACAGUUUUAACUUACUGCCUCUCCAAGGAUAUGGGAUCUUGGUAGGAGUGAAGCAAUUUAUUUAAAAGACUCAUGAAAACGUAGAUCUUUGUUUCUAUCCAUUAUUUUGUAGACACAGCAACAGUCCUUCUCUUCUGAACCAUAUGGGAUUGGCUUUCCUGUUCUGUUUGAAAUAAUAAUGUGCUUGUUUGUUUGUUUUAGGUUUGGGGGGGGGGGGUAGUACUUUUUAUCACCAUCACAGAACUGCUUGUAUGUUUCAAUAUGUUCAAAAGGUUUUAGUAAAAUAUACAGGCUUCACUAUGUGGUGAAGGAGUGUACUUCCCAAGCAGAUGCUUUCAGGUUCAGUCCCUCUACAUGGCAAGUGACUUCUACUAAAGUCCUGAGCUAAACAAAACCUUGUUAGUAAAAUUAGUAGAUGGAAACUGAAAGAAGCGCAUCAUAUACGUGUGUGUGUGUGUUUUCUUGUCCUGACAGAUAGUUGUAAAUGAGUGUCACUGUCAUACAAGCAGUGUUAUUCAUUUCCAAUUUUCUGCAAAAAUGUGUGACCAUGAGGAAAUAUUACCUUGAGUGGGAAUAGAUGGUAGCAGAAAGAGCAUCCAGUCAUAGUUUAUUCUGCCUCAUUAAAUUCUGUCCGGCCUACACAAAUAUGGAAAAGUGUACGUUAAAAAAAGUGAUGUUCACUGCUGUUCAUAUUACAAGGUACUUGAUGGGGGAAUUUAAUCUAAAUGUCCCUAAAUAUAAUAUAAAUAUCAACUUGUCUUGUAACAGGCUGACAUUAAGGAAUUGUUCUGUACCUGCUCAGUUCACAUUAGCCAUUAAGAAUGGGUGUCAGAUCAUGUGCAAUUGUUACCAGGGGUAGAUUAGCAUUUUAUUUGUGGGAAAAAUUAUCUCUCAGUUUGCUUAAUUUUGAUAUGAUGCAACUGAAGGCAGACACCGACCCUUCAUGGGCAUUUUAUGCUUGCAAUAAUGAAUGUAUGCAAUUUCAUUGUUUUAAUGUAAAGUCUCUACUCCUGGAUUUAUAAAUCUAUUUGGCUGAUUCAUUUUUAUAGUUGAUUAAUUAGUAUGAGAGGUGAUAUUAAUUAAGUUGUAAAACUAUUUCCUCCUGAAAAAAUUAUGUAGCUGCCUAAAUUAAAAAAUUUUGAAGCCCUAAAUUCCUGAUAGUUAAAAAAAAAUGUUUUUCAUACCAACCCUUUACAAAGGAAACAUGAAUCUCCUUUCCUCUCCCUUACACGAUUAUCCAGCCUGUCUAGGAUGGAGCACAAUGAAAUUCACACACACACACACACACACACACACACACACAUCUAUUCAUUCAGUCAUCAUACUUGCACAUGUCCAUUCACUGGAUGGUUUCAAAACAACAAAAAGGUAUCUGCAUUAUAAAAUCCAAAUGAAUAUGUACAUCACUGUAAGUUUAGUUGCUCUCAGAACUAGGAAAAAUAUGUCAUUUUAGACACAGGUUAUUCAACAGAUGUCUGCUUAAAGGACCUUAGACCAAACUGUAAGAUUUUUUUUCCACUCCUCAUACCAAUUAAACUUACUGUAAUUUUCAUCUCUUGGACUGUUGGAUUUUUUUACUAUUGUUAUUGCCAAUGCAAGGCUUUUUCCAUCUUCAUCAGAUUCUAUAUUUUAAUCCUAAACUACAUAAUAGACAAAGCUUCAUCAUCACCAACACUCACCAUUGUUGCCUCUGCCAUGACUGUCGCACCUCUAAAACUGGUUUACUUCAUAACAACCUAGAUUUAAACCCACUCAAUGCACUUCUCUCUCCCCUCCACUUCUUCCUCCGGUUCCUGCCUCUCAGGGAUAUUUCAUACCCCAAUAUAUUAGAGACAAUGGAAGUGAUCUUGGUGCAUUAGCAUAUAUAUAUCUAUGAACUGUUUCAGAACCAUUACGGUCUCUCGUUAAGUACCUUGCUUCUCUGAGUUCAACUGCCAGAACCAACUUUGCCUGUUAUUUCUUUCAAGGCGUUAGCAACCCACAUACCAGUUAUAUACUUGGGUUAGUUCAGUCUAUAAAAUCUUUCUGCCCUUUUUGCAAAGAAAAUAAAAUAGGUCUUGUGCCUAAAAAAAAAAAAAAAAAAAAAAUGGU